UACGAAGGGGGCUAGCGUUGCUCGGAAUCACUGGGCGUAAAGCGCACGUAGGCGGACUCUUAAGUCGGUGGUGAAAUCCUGGAGCUCAACUCCAGAACUGCCCUUCGAUACUGAGAGUCUCGAGUCCGGGAGAGGUGAGUGGAACUGCGAGUGUAGAGGUGAAAUUCGUAGAUAUUCGCAAGAACACCAGUGGCGAAAGGCGGCUCACUGGCCCGGUACUGACGCUGAGGUGCGAAAGCGUGGGGAGCAAACAGG
rnacentral:rRNA from 1 species